GUAUUCCUCAGAUCUAAUCUUCGACAUUGCCAAGUGAAACAGAAAAGAGUUUUGAAUGGUAAGUUUUUUUCUCAUUAUCCUCUUUAGUAUAUUUAUGUUCCAUUAUGUUAGUACGUAAUGUACUUUAAGUGUAUUCUAGAACUUAAGUGACGUUAAACGAGAUCGCAUUGAGUCGAAACAACGCCAGUGUACACAGUGCGAUGCCGUUUGUUUUUAUGGUCUGUUUUUAAACGUUUUAAAAACAUUACGGAACUUUUUUUGUUUUUUUUUUCGACGAAGACGUUAGAAAAUCUGUUAGUUCACUUAAAUUUAGAAGGUCUCGAUUCUCUUCAUGCUUGACGACCGCAUUGUUUGAAGGUGGAGGUCAUCCACAGGAGUCAAGCCCUCCCGCAGUUACUUAUUAAUGAAGUCAUUCCAUCUCCAGAAACGUUGCAGAUGGUUUCCUAUGACGCUUCAUGGUUUGGGGCAUCUUUUCGAAAAUCUGGAACGAUUCCCAGACUCGUUUAAAUUCGCGAACUACUACCGUAUUUCGCUUUGUUUUAUACUUUUAGAUUUUUUAUUUUUUUCGUGUUUUAUUCUUUCUUGGUCUUCCCAUCCGAAAGAAGUUUUCUCUUUCUCUUUUCUUAUUUUUCGGUAAACAAGUCAGAUUGGAUCGACAAAAGAUAGGGGCACCUGACAAAAAGGGUUAAGAGUACCGAAGGGGUUUAGAGAUAAAAGCGAAAUCCGGGAAACGGAAGGGAAAGGAGGGACUUAGGCACCCAGCUGGGAACACGGCUGUUGCCAAGACGGAACAUAUGGUGGGUGUAGUAUUGACCUCAUAUAGGUCCUUAGUAGAAUUUCCAGCUUUGUGUCUUCGGUUAUAUCGAAAGUUCAAGGUUUUGGAAAACCAAAAAUCGAAGAGAAGAAAAAAAAAAUAAAUAAUAGGGACAUGUAUCUUGUCAUUAUCCUUGAUCUGACUAAUGUGUUCUUACAACAAACACAAACCUUCGAUAUAAAAUCUCGCUCGAUUUUUUUUUUCUUGCAGAGUUUUUUUUUCCUUCUUAGCUGUUGGGUAAAAACCUUACAGUUUCUCAAUAGGAGGUUUCAUGUUUUCUGUGAUUAAUGGAAUAAAAUCCGGGGCAUUCCCGGAUUGGCAAAAGUUUUCGAAAGCUUUUUUUUGUAUAUUACCAUAGCGAGAUCAAAAGAGAUAAAUACAAGAUCGGGGUGUGAGACUGUUCUUGUUUACCAGCAUAAGUCCCAUCUGUGUGUCGUGUGAACGGCACGAACGUCAAACAAAAGACGCGUCGACAGAGAGUGACGACCUCCCCCAUUUCGUGUUGCCAUGACAAUUCGAUUUUGCCGGACAGCUUCGUUGUUUACGCGUAACGCAAGUCCGUCAAUCAACAAUCGUCGAUAGUGCACCAUUAGAAGAGUCAAAAGGAGGAAAAAAAGAAAAAAAAAUUUUUUUUCAGAGCUUCUUCUGUGUUUCUUAUACGCUCGACUGCGGUCGCUGACGCAGACCGGAUGUUGUGGUUUUGGAAAAGUAGAAGCGGAACGCCAGCCGUAUCUGUCUGAUCUACACAUCUCGGGUUCCGAACUCCCGCGACAGUCUGUAUAAUUAUAAUACGAGUAGGCACCCCUUCGACACUUAAAAAUCUGCCAUUUUUAUCUAACUGAACAUAAUUCUGUUAUCCGGGAGUGCUCUCUCUCUCUCUGUCGUUAUUUUUGUACACGUAGCUUUGUACCGGUUUCUGGCUCGCAUCUCUAAAAGGAUUACUCUUCUAAGAUUGAAAAUUUUAAAAAAAUCUCCUACUAGACUAGAACAGAAAUUUGCAGUACUGUUCUCUCUUACAGGAUUCGAUUCUUUGGACUAUCGUUAGAGAUUCGAACCCCUGAACAUAGGAGUUUUCAGAGAUGUAGUCAAAGGUUCGAAUCUUUUUUUAAUAAAUGCUGAUUGUAGUGCGUAGUUAAUGUCACUCCCGGUGAUUGGUAUAUCUGCUAAGAUUCGAUUCCUAACUGCAUACCGGAAACUUUCGUAUACCCCUGGGGUGUUGGUUAAAUAUUUGUCGUUUUGUUACCGUUUGUUCAGUUCAGUGAUUGAUAUCAUCUGUCGAGGAAGUUCCUUGGCAUCGAUAGCAAGUUUUGGAAAGUAUUUUUUUUUAUUUUUAUUUUUCCCCCCCGGUCUUCGACUAGAAAAGUCGGUAUGCCAUUUUUGUAAAUCAGUAGAAGACAAACUCCGGCGUUAGCAAAACCGGAGGGAGACGUAUGACGUCAACCCGAAUACGUGGAUCAGUCUGGACCAUACUAAACGCCCACGCUGUAUAGGAUAUUCCAUCCCACGACGUCAAUUAACCUAUGUGGCAGCAGCGCGUUUCGCAUCUCUCAACGAAUAUCCACUCGCGUGACGAUCUGUCACGUCACCUCACGUUACCGAUUUAAGCUUUUCUCGAAUGUCGCACUUUAAAACACGUAAAAAAAAACACGAGUCUCUCUCGGAAACAACCGUAUUGCAACAAUUCCAGUAACGAAUUUAACGAGGAAGCGUAUUAAAUUACUUUAAUAGUCGUUUGCGUGGAAACGAUUUUUAAACCCCUUUAUCAAUGCGAUCGCUUUGUUAACAACGUUUCACUCCACUGGAGUAACCUAUAUUAAUUACGCGUGGGGGGGAAACGAAAGACUUUUCCGAAUUAAAAAAAAAAUAAUAAUAAGUCUUUCCGUCCGAGCGGGGGAAAAAGAAUGAGUGGUGUUAUACGGAAUCCCGUUUAGUGGGGCAUUUAUGUUUAGAACGUUACUGAAAAUCCAGGUCUUUCUGCAUUCUCCCAUCAAACAAAAUGCAAAAGGACAUUACCAUCGAGGAAGCGAAACCGGUCGAAAGACAGACGACCGACCCUAUUCGCUUGUCAGAAAGGAGAAAAACUUAUCUCGACAGAUAUAAACAAAUGAUAUUUUCAAUAACUUCUACAAGACGACGUCACACGCGUCGAAAAAAAAAUAUGGAAACUCCGUUUUAGCAUUUUAUAAUGUUUAACGUCCGUCGUGACGUCAGUGUCGGAGUACGUCGAGUAGUUCGGAAAAGCAUAUUAUAAAAGCUGCUGUAGUCAGACCGGGUGGGGAAAGAGGGAGGGAGAAAAAUAUGGUAUCCAGCAAAAACCGCUCCCUCCAAACAGCAUACUAAUGCACCCCACGUAAAUGAUAAUUAGGAGGGUUGGUUGGGAAUUUUUAUUUUUAUUUUUUAAUUAAACUAAUCUACCACUAUUGCUACUACUAGUUACAGUAUCCGAGGAGCGUUUUAGAACCUUACCUGAUGGAUCUUAGACCCUGAGGACUAGCAAGUUUUCUGAUGCAGGACGGUCUGGCUGACGACGUCAAAAUGCACUGUUUAGAUUUCGUCGAGUUAAUUUUGGUUAGUUUCGGUUUUAGAAGGGUCUAAUUCAAGAGUGCGUCCUGUGUUAUUUUUACGGUGUAUCGUUUUGGUCUCUAGGUUUAUUUUGGUGGGAAGAGUACAUGCCAAAGUUUUGGAGGUUGUAAUUAAACUUUGGCAUCGAACGUUACGAAGGUGGACAUUGUUUACUAUAAUUUCUCACUAGGCUACGUGGGAGUGGAAAAACUCGAAUGGUUUGUUUUUUUGUUUUUUUCUCCUCCGUAUCUGCGCGAAUUUCUUUUUUAACUUUUUUUAUGUUUAGUUUUAUCUCUCUAAUCGGCUAAAAUAGGAUUUGAAGUACGGUAGAACUUCGAGUUUUAUUGCAAAAGAGUUGUAAAGCCGAAGGACUCUACCUUGAGGCUACUGAUUUACAACCUGGUUCUGAAGGGUUUCUUACCCUUCAGAAGUAUAAAGAAAACAAAUUUUCGGAUUUUAAACGGGAGAAAAAAAAAAAAAAAAGAAUUCUACGCGCGCGCGCGCGCGCGCACAUAUACACCAUGAGUUUAAUAUUCAAAUAUUAUUUAAAAUUAGAACUUUCGACCUGCAACCUUAUCAAAUCAGAUACUGAAAGUAUGCACUACACGUGCUAUUCUUGCAUCACUUCCUCUUCGAAUCCAGACCAGUUGGUUCAGUCGAUUCUUUAAGAUUUGUCAUUAAAAACAGAACUUAACAUCCCUAUUAACUAUUGAUCGUCACACCAUUUUUGUUCUAAAGCGGUAGAACUUUAGGAAUAUAUAUAUAUAAC
rnacentral:lncRNA from 1 species